CAGUAGCGCGGUAAUACGAAGGGUGCAAGCGUUACUCGGAAUUACUGGGCGUAAAGCGUGCGUAUGUGGUGGUUUAAGUCCGUUGUGAAAGCCCUGGGCUCAACCUGUGAAUUGCAGUGGAUACUGGGUCACUAGAGUGUGGUAGAGGAUAGUGGAAUUUCCGGUGUAGCAGUGGAAUGCGUAGAGAUCGGAAGGAACAUCUGUGGCGAAGGCGACUAUCUGGGCCAACACUGACACUGAGGCACGAAAGCGUGGGGAGCAAACAGGAUUAGAUACCCCAGUAGUCCCUGUCUCUUAUACA
rnacentral:rRNA from 1 species